GAUGAACGCUGGCGGCGUGCCUAAUACAUGCAAGUCGAGCGAACAGACGAGGAGCUUGCUCCUCUGACGUUAGCGGCGGACGGGUGAGUAACACGUGGAUAACCUACCUAUAAGACUGGGAUAACUUCGGGAAACCGGAGCUAAUACCGGAUAAUAUAUUGAACCGCACGGUUCAAUGGUGAAAGACGGUUUUGCUGUCACUUAUAGAUGGAUCCGCGCCGCAUUAGCUAGUUGGUAAGGUAACGGCUUACCAGGGCAACGAUGCGUAGCGGCCCUGAGAGGGUGAUCGGCCACACGGGAACUGAGACAGGGUCCAGACUCAGACGGGAGGCAGAAGUGGGGAAUCUUGGAAAAUGGGAGAAAGCCUGAGGAAGAAAUCCCGGGGGGGUGAAGAAGGCCUUCGGGUGGAAAAACCCUUUUGUGGGGAAAGAAAAAAAGUAGAAGAAUAACGGGCUGUUUGGACGGUACAAAAAGAAAAAGCAACGGCUAACUCCGUG
rnacentral:rRNA from 1 species